UACCUGUACGUCGAUAACUGGAGGAUAACGAGAGACACCUUGCCCGGGAGACUGCAGACGAUGAGGUGCCUGUCGCUGAAACCAUCAUCUUGUUUUCUGAUUUGUCUUCCCCCCAACACUACAGAUGAAAUGUUGGUCACUGCUGAAACAGACUAAGAAAAGCAUAAAACUGUCAUCCCUUCUGUGGUCUACCAAGAUGAGUCACCCAAACCAUUAUAAAGAGUGUAAGAGAUAUUGUCAUUGUGUCUUCUGGUAAGUUUUCGUUUAACUCUACAGAUGAAAUGUUGGGCCCUGCUGAAACAGACAUAGAAAAGCAUAAUACUGUCAUCCCUGCAGUGGUCUACCAAGGUGAGUUCUGUAAUGUGCUAUUCUAUAAUGUGCUAAGGAGUGUUACGUUAUCACCUUUCCUCCCGUGUCUUGACUCGCUGUAUACCCAAGGAUGUGCUAUUGAUAAAUUAAGAAUAGUUAAUGUGGUGUAAGGAUAGAGAAGGAUAUAAAGAGAUUACAAUAGUCCUGUGAGGAGGAGAAAUAGCUGAAUGAAUGUGAACUUGGGGAAAAAUACGAACUUGUAAAAAAUAUAUGAACUUGUAAAAAAAUAUGAACUUGUAAAAAAUUAUGAACUUGUGAAAUAUGAACUUGUGAAAUAUGAACUUGUAAAAAAAAAAUGAACUUGUGAAAUAUGAACUUGUAAAAAAAAUGAACUUGUGAAAUAUGAACUUGUAAAAAAUAAAUCAACUUGUGAAAUAUUAACUUGUAAAAAAAUGAACCUGCAAAAUAUUAGAGCUUGUAAAAAAUCCUUACAUCUCCCCUAUACCAAUACUUAAGCUAAAUGAAGGGAAAUACUUGGGUGUGAAGUUCGGAAAAGUGUUAACAAAUAUUCAACUUGUUUAUUUAAAGGUGACGGUGGGAAUCAACACUUAUACAAAGGAUAAAACAACAUGAGCAAAAAACUGUACUUACCAAACUGCCCUGAGCAUCACUGUCUUACCCUCACUAAUGGUCCCCUUGCAUUGCUUAACCCUUAGACGACGACAGAAUCUGAAGCGUGUCUCCCCGAAAAUGAAUGGUCCAUGUGAGGCUCGUCGUGCGAAAGUGGUCUAACCCGCCCGACCUUAGUUUUGAGGUAUUAGCGGAGUCAAUUAUUGAUUACUACUGAAUAAAAUGGUGCAAUGUAUUACUAUUAUACAUCGAAUUAAGUGUUUAGGCUAGAUCUUUCAUGCCACUGAGUUUUUAAUAAAUCUAAAAAAAAUUUGGAUAGUCGAAUUUUUCACUCACUCCCUUCUCCCGCACUAUUUUUUCCCCCCAGAAAGUCAUGGUUUUAGGUUCAUUUUUAAAGAGUGUAUGGAAUAAGAAGUGCUCUGUAAAAAAAUUAUGUUGCUGUGCCUAAUUCCUGAUUUUAUACGAAUGUUUAAAAUCGAAAAAGAGUCUUUCACUCCCGAUCUAAAGUUAGUCUGUACCACAUGUUGGACCAAAACAAGCCACUUUAGACCUUAGUACACCCCGCAGGAUGUUCACUUUUGCCUUUUCCGACAUCACUACAAGAUAAUUGAACCUCAGGACAACAGGUUCCCGCCUGUAACUCCAACCCGCCAUUUUUUAGGGUUAGAUCACUUUCACACGACACGCCUCAUAUAUAGUCACUGCCGACCUUAAGACCAACAUUACCAGACUGCCGUACUCAGCCGGUUUGACGAUUUCCAACCAAAAACUGUCAUGUCAACCCCGAUAACGAGAUUUGUUUUUAGUUAUCGUUAAAAUCAGUAAUUAUACGUUUGUCUGCAACCGAUUUCCAACCAAAAACUGUCAUGUCAACCCCGAUAACGAGAUUUGUUUUAAGUUAUCAUUAAAAUUGGUGAUUAUUUGUGUCUGCUUGCAAUGGUCAUGAGUCAGAGGCCAGAAAAUAGGAUGUUCUGGGUACGAUAAUCUGGCAUUGCUGCUUAGGACUGUAGCACAAAUAUAGGUACGCCGCAGAAUGGAAAAGUUGGAAAGUUUCGUUUAGUCGGCGCAACAUCUGUGGUCAUAUGCCGGAGAGAGACAGAAGGGGAAGGAAUUAUAGGAGAAGGGAACAGGAGACAGGACACAACCCCCGAUUAAUACCUGGUACCCAUUUACUGCUGAGUGGACAGGGGCGCAGGGUAUCGGAAAAGCCGCCCAAAUUUUUCCACUCCACCCAGGAAUUGAACCCAGGCUCUCUCGGUCCACAUAAUGGAUGUUUUAACAAUUGUCUGUAUGUAGAUUCAACCAUGAUCUGGAAGUGCUAUAUUUCUACCAUACAAAACUGACUGAAUUUUGGACCAUCUGUAUAUAGCUUCACCGACGUCUAAGGGUUAAGACACACACACACACAGACACACACACACAUGAUGAUAAAGACACAUAUAUCAAAACAGGUUAUCACAUGGAUUGGUCUUCACAUGGCUUAGAAAUUCUUAACAUUGCAAACACACUAUGGUACGCGUUAUCACAUGGUUCAGGUAAGUUGUUGAGGAUAUAAAAGGCGUCUAGAACCAAAGGAGCAUCCACACCAAAAGUGAGGUUUGAGAUGAGAGGAUGAAGUUGAACCUUGUAGCAGCGAUGGGCCAAAUUUAUGUACCAGCGAUGGGUCAAAUUUAUGUACCAGCGACGGGCCAAAUUUAUGUACCAGCGACGGGCCAAAUUUAUGUACCAGCAACGGGCAAAAUUUGUGAGUUUACUGUGUAGCAGCGACAGGCAAAAUUUGUGUCUUUACCGUGUAGCAGAGACGGGCUAAAUUUGUGGCUUUACCGUGUACCAGCGACGGGCCAAAUUUGUGGCUUUACCGUGUACCAGCAACAGGCUAAAUUUGUGGCUUUACCGUGUACCAGCGACGGGCCAAAUUUGUGGCUUUACCGUGUACCAGCAACAGGCUAAAUUUGUGGCUUUACCAUGUAGCAGUGAAGGGCUAAAUCUUUGCCAUGAUAUAAACCCCCAAAAAUAGAUGAUGCAUAAACUGAUCACAAAUGCGUUGAUAUAUAUUAUGAAAUGGUUUGCGUGAGUGAUGAUUGUUUCUCAUUUUUCUCGCUUAGAGGGACCAUUAAGACACAUGAUCUCCGCAGCAGCUAUCAGGCGGAGAGGAUGGGGCAGAACAUGACUGACCGACACUUCACUAGUUUGAAGUUGCAUGGAUCCAGCCCUGUCCAUCCCUCCUGCCUCCAUGACCUAUAUGGGUUAAGAGAGGAGGGUCACACCUGCAUGACACGACCCGUAACUCAAACCGUAAAAGUAGCGUGGAUGUCUCUUUGCUUCUGGACGUCUCAAAUAUAUCAAUAGAGAGUAUUAUACAAGACAAUUAUAAAAUGGUCCACUUGUACUGUUAAAAAGUAUAUACAUCCAAAAAAUAUUUAAUCCGUAAAAUAGUAAAUGGUCUAGUUAAACCACUGAAAAAUGUAAGCAUCAACUCAAAUUAUCUGAAUGAGUAAAUGAAUAAUAUAUAAAAAUAAUGAUAGGAAAGAGUAGAGGGUUACGUCAAACUCCUCUAAAAUAGUAAAUAUAUCAAAAGGAAUUUUCUGAAUGAGCAUUACGAGAUUACAGAGUUCCUUAAUGGCUAAAAAAAUAUAGAGAGAAACACAAAUUACCAUCUGAAAACGUAAAUAACUAGGCAAUCCAUAUACAAGAUCGUACAAGAGAACCUAAAUUGCUAUGUCAGACUAUUGUAAAAAAUAUAUAUGAACACAAAUUGCUAUCUGAAUACAUAAACAACUAGGAAAUCCAUAUACAAGAUCAUAUAAGAAAACCUAAAUUGCUAUGUCAGACUAUUGUAAAAAAUAUAUAUGAACACAAAUUGCUAUCUGAAUGCAUAAACAACUAGGUAAUCCAUAUACAAGAUCAUAUAAGAAAACCUAAAUUGUUAUGUCAGACUAUUGUAAAAAUAUAUAUGAACACAAGUUAUCUGAAUGCAUAAACAACUAGGAAAUCCAUAUACAAGAUCAUAUAAGAGAACCUAAAUUGCUAUGUCAAACUAACGUAAAAAAUUAUAUAUGAACACAAAUUAUCUGAAUACAUAAACAACUAAGUAAUCCAUAUACAAGAUCAUAUAAGAAAACCUAAAUUGCUAUGUCAGACUUUUGUAAAAAAUUAUAUAUGAACACAAAUUAUCGGAAUGACUAAAAACGAGAUUAC